rnacentral:lncRNA from 1 species
UGGUGCUACGUCUUUUCUUUUGUUUGUUAUUUUCUUUGAAUAAGAAGAUUGAGAGUUUCUGAAUAUUGUGAAGUGAAUUAUGGAAUAGAAAUGUGAUUGGUACUAUUUGAGAAGAAGAAAGAUUAAAUGCUGAAAUCUGAUUGUAGUUCAGUAGAGAAAAUGAGUCUGUGUUUGUGUGAAAUAUUGCAAUGUGAAUGGCAGUU